CAACGCCAAAACAACAACAACGCAAAGACAAGGCAACAACAACAACGGCAAGACAACAACAACGGCAAGACAACGACAAGGCAACAACAACAACGGCAAGACAACAACAACGGCAAGGCAACGACAAGGCAACGACAAGGCAACAACAACAACGCAAGACAACAACAACGGCAAGACAACGACAAGGCAACAACAACAACGGCAAGACAACGACAAGGCAACGACAACAACACCAAGACAACAACAACGGCAAGACAACGACAAGGCAACAACAACAACGGCAAGACAACAACAACGGCAAGACAACGACAAGGCAACAACAACAACGGCAAGAAAACAACAACGGCAAGACAAUAAUAACGACAAGACAACAACGACAAACAAUGUGCUACAUUCCUGUAUGAUAUUUUAAUUUUGACUCACCUUCAAUGAAGAGCGGAUGUCCCUCAGUAAAAUCACUUCUGUCGCUUUUCUUAUCGCCAUUCACAACGACAGUGGCGAACAUGUAGUGUUUAUUCUUUAAACCAUCAAUCACAACAUAUGACUUCUCACCGUCACUCCUUAUUAAUAUUGUCUUCGUUUUUUUCAUAUCUUUAUCAUCUUGACCUGGAAAUAAAAAAUAGGACUUGAUUUAAUAUACAGAGAUUGAAAAAUCUGAAAAGAAAAAUCUGAAAAUACAGUCGAACCUGUCACCGUAUUAAGCGGUCACCCUUUGUUAUAAGCGGUCAUGUGGGAAAGUUCCGAAAAUCUCAUAAUAUAAAUACUAUUUAAGUGACCUUUAUUGAAUGGCCAC